rnacentral:rRNA from 1 species
UACAGAGGUCCCAAGCGUUGUUCGGAUUCAUUGGGCGUAAAGGGUGCGUAGGCGGCGCGGUAAGUCGGGUGUGAAAUCUCGGGGCUUAACUCCGGAACUGCAUUCGAUACUGCCGUGCUUGAGGACUGGAGAGGAGACUGGAAUUUACGGUGUAGCGGUGAAAUGCGUAGAUAUCGUAAGGAAGACCAGUGGCGAAGGCGGGUCUCUGGACAGUUCCUGACGCUGAGGCACGAAGGCCAGGGGAGCAAACGGG